AUAACACACACACACACAAACACAUACAAGCUCGCACUUUUGCACCACCCGACUCUGCCCCUACUUGCUCUGGCACUCUGUGGAGUCUCAGGGGUCGUGGUCAGGGGGACCCACCAUAGGACAACAUCCCUGCCCCUACAGAGCUCAGGGAGGCAGGACAGCUCAGUGGGUCCUGGGGAUGGGGGGCCGGGGAGGCCCAGGUGGAGCCAGGGGCGACUCCAGAGACACGAGCAUGGCUAGGAGAAAGGAAGCCACUGGGAGGCCAGGGUCAGGCAGGUGGGGGGAAGAGGUGCUUUGAAAGGGGUGGAGUGCCGUAUGGGUGGAGGGAGCCAGGUUUGGGAAGCUGGGUGGCAAGUAGCAAAGGAUCAGAAGAGUGGCUGACACCCAUGUAAGUAGGGAAAGUGGGGAAAGCAGGGAAGGAGAGAGAAAACAGCAGGACUGGACCAGAACUGAAGACCCUGGACCCAGCCUAACUAGAGACCUGGGAGGUGAGGAGGCUGGGAACGAAUCACCCCAAGCGAGGGGCCAGCCCAGGCUGGCUGGCGGCAAGGGAAGGGGCUCACCGAGGAGGAGUCUUGGAGUCCUGCCUGACCCCAGGCAGGCACCCCCUCUCCCCGCAAGCCCUCCCCUCCUUGCUUGGUCUGGGCACACUCACGUUCUUGCCAUGGUCCUGGCUGGGCUCCUCCGGGGCCAGCUCUCCAAUCAGCAGAGGCUUCAUGAACUUGCGCACAAAGUCGAGGUCACGGUGGAAGGCGAGGAAGGCGUCCUGGGGAGGCGGAGAGCAGGCAGUCAUAAUCCUGGGGUGCUGGGAUCAAGCCCCGUGUCCGGGAUCCCCGCUCAUCGGAGAGUCUCCUUCUCCCUCUGCCCCUCCCCCCACCAUGCUUAAUCUCAUUCUCUUGCUCUCUCUCAAAUAAAUAAAAUCUUUAAAAAAUUUUUAAAAA